GCUAGGUGCAGUGGUGCACACCUGUAAUCCCAGCAGCUCGGGAGGCUGAGACACGAGAAUCAGGAGUUCAAAGCCAGCCUCAGCAAUGGCGAGGCAGCGCUAAGUAACUCAGUGAGACCCUGUCUCUA
rnacentral:sRNA from 1 species